rnacentral:rRNA from 1 species
UUCCUGCAUACCCAGGCAGUAACAGCUUGAUCAUGGCUCAGACGAACGCUGGCGGAUGCUUACACAUGCAAGUCGAACGGCGUGACGACUUCGGUCUGGCGGACAGCAGAAACGGGUGAGAAUAUCGAACGCCGGGGUAGCGGGGGAUAAUUUACGAAAAGGUAGCUAAUACCGGCAUGCCCCCGGGGAAAGUAGACCUUCUGGCCUCGCACUAUUAGAGUACGAUAUCGGAUUAGCUAGCCAGGUAACGUAGCUCACCAAGGCGACGAUCCGUAGCUGGUUUGAGGAUUGACCAGCCACUGGGACUGAGACACAAGCCAGACUCCUACGUAAGAGGCAGGUAAUUUUGGACAAUGGGGAAACUUUCGAUCCGCCAUCCUGCGUGCGAUGAAGGCCUUCGGGUUGUGAAGCACUUUUGGCAGGAAAAGAACGCGCGGCACGGAUAAUACCUGUGCAACUGACGUACUCGCAGAAUAAGCAAUCACAAUCCAUGUGCCAGCAGCCGCGGUAAUACGUAGGGUGCAAGCGUUAAUCGGAAUUACUGGGCGUAAAGCGUGCGCAGGCGGUUCGGAAAGAAAAGAUGUGAAAUCCCAGAGCUUAACUUUGGAACUGUAUUUUUAACUACCGAGCUAGAGUGUAAAUGGGAGGGAGGUGUGGAAUCUCGCGUGUAGCAGUGAAAUGCGUAGAUAUGCGGAGGAACAGAUCAGAUGGCAGGCAGCCUCUGGGAUAACACUGACGCUCAUGCACGAAAGCGUGGGGAGCAAACAGGAUUAGAUACCCUGUAAACCAUGCCCCAAACGAUGUCAACUAGCUGUUGGGGCCUCGGGCCUUUGGGAAGUAUUAACGCGGUGAAGUUGACCGCCUGGGAGUAUUGGUCGCAAGAUUAAAACUCAAAGGAAUUGACGGGGACCCGCACAAGCGGUGGAUGAUGUGGAUUGACCCGGAUGCAACGCGAAAACUCCAUCACCCUUGACAUGUUCGGGAAUCCCUGAAGAGAUUUGGGAGUGCUCGCAAGAGAACCGGAACACAGGUGCUGCAUGGCUGUCGUCAGCUCGUCGUGAGAUGUUGGGUUAAGUCCCGCAACGAGCGCAACCCUUGCCGGCCGAAGCGCUGAAAGGGCACUCUACGAGACUGCCGGUGACAAACCGGAGGAAGGUGGGGAUGACGUCAAGUCCUCAUGGCCCUGGUGGGUAGGGCUUCGCUGACCGUCAUACAAUGGUCAACAGAGGGUCGCCAACCCGCGAGGGGAGCCAAUCCCAGAAACCCGAUCGUAGUCCGGAUCGCAGUCUGCAACCUUGACUGCGUGAAGUCGGGAAUCGCUAGUAAUCGCGGAUCACAUGUCGCGGUGAAUACGUUCCCGGGUCUUGUACACACCGCCUGUCACAAUUCAUGGCGGGUUUUACCAGAAGUAGCAGCUCUAACCGUAAGGAGGGCGAUUACCACGGUAGGAUUCAUGACUGGGGUGAAGGCGUAACAAGGUAA